ACAAGUAGGUCAUUGGAUGUAGGUUUUGCUUCUUUAUUGUUUCUAUGAACUGGAAGGAGUUUGUAACGUGUGAAGAGAUGGAUUCUGCAUAGGGCUGAAGUUUCUCGCUAAGCAACUUCAGCCCUAUGCAGAAUCCAUCUCUUCACACGUUACAAACUCCUUCCAGUUCAUAGAAACAAUAAAGAAGCAAAACCUACAUCCCAAUGACCUACUUGUGAGCUUCGAUGUUAUAUCUCUCUUCACACAAGUGCCCAUUAAUGAAGCCUUGACAGCCAUUCAAAACAAAUACAAUCCCCCCGAAUACAUCCUGGACCUGACCAACCACUGCCUAACCAACACGUACUUCAUCCACAAUGGACAAAGAUACAAACAGAUAGAAGGAGCACCUAUGGGAUCACCCCUCUCACCGGUCAUCGCAAACCUGUACAUGGAACACUUUGAAACCAAUGCUUUAGACAAGUCAGAACACAAACCCAAACUUUGGCUCAGAUAUGUUGACGACACCUUUGUAAUUUGGCCACACGGGAAGGAAAAACUAGAUAGCUUCCUCACACAUCUCAACAGCCUACACCCCAAAAUACAAUUCACUAUGGAAAUAGAAGCCAACAACCAACUUCCCUUCCUUGACGUCCUAAUCUACAAAAAACCUGAUGGCUCCCUAGGACACACUAUCUACCGGAAAAAAACACACACCAACCGCUACUUACAUGCACAAUCACACCACCACCCUGCACAAAUAAACUCCGUAGCCAAGACUCUCAUCUCCAGAACCAAACGCCUGGCUGACAAAGACCACUUGACAACUGAGUUACAGAAUCUCUCAAAUGUGUUAAUCGCCAAUGGAUACCAACAAAACAGGGUUACGAAGCUAAUCCAAAAAGAAACACCCCCCAAAAACCAAGACACAGAAGAAAACAAUGGCAUGGCCCUCCUUCCUUACAUCAAGGGCACUACAGAUAAAAUUAGCAAAAUCCUCCAUAAACACAAUAUCAAAACAGCCUUUUGCACCAACCAAAAAAUAGCCAAUAUCCUCAGAAACCCCAAGGAUAGAAUCCAGUUGGAAAACCAAGGGGUCUAUGAAAUACCCUGCAAAGUCUGCCCAGCCACGUACAUUGGACAAACAAACAGACGAAUAAAUGCACGUAUCGCAGAACACAAGAAUGCCGUCAAAAAAGAAGAAAAAACUUCCUCUCUUUUCCAACACAUGAAAGAAACAGGACACGAAAUUAAUUUUGCAGAUUCCAAAUUGCUCUUUAACAUGGAACAUCACCACAAGAGAAUAAUCAUGGAAGCCAUCGAGAUAGAGAAACACCCUCACAACAUGAACAAGCGUGACGACACAUCCCGCUUGCCAGACAUCUGGAAAUUAGCCCUCCCCACAAAAACCGACACCAGAUCCAGAGGCACACAGAACGCCAUCACCAAUCAACCACACCAGACCCAAACCCAGACCCUCUCCACAGAUAAAUUACAGACACCAUCCAGUAGCCAAACCAUGGUGGAACCUCCGGAUACUGCACCCCCCUGCAAUCCCUACACAGAUCUGGCUGGCACAGGCCACAAAACCACAGCUCGCCCCUAUACACGAAGCCAAGCCAGAGCCAAGUUCAAGCCAAGUUCAAGAGGUCAAGACACGAAGGCUUUAGCAACUAAUCCACACCUAAUGACCCACCCAAGUGGUACUCAGGAUAUCACUCAAGAAAUCACUCCAGAUAUCCCUCCAGUAAUUAAGGAACAAAAGAAGAAAAGGCACACUAGCCUGGGAACUUCCUCUCUGCCCAGAACAUUGGAGGCUAU
ensembl:lncRNA